rnacentral:rRNA from 1 species
UGGUGGAGCGAUUUGUCUGGUUAAUUCCGUUAACGAACGAGACCUCGACCUGCUAAAUAGCUGGGCGAAUUGCUUUUUGCGAUUGGUGAGGGCAGUGUGCGCCGGGUGCUUUGUGCGCCGGGUGUGCGUGCCCGUCACUAGCUUCUUAGAGGGACUAUCGGUGCUUAGCCGGUGGAAGUUCGAGGCAAUAACA